CGCCCUCGAUGCCCAGAUCGUGCAGCUGCGGGAGGAGUUGACCGGAUCCGACAUGCGCGUUGGCAUCAGUGGCGAGAGCAACGGCGGCGGCUACGCGACCAGCGGACGCGCCGCUGAGGUGACCGAGAA
rnacentral:SRP_RNA from 1 species